UUUAUAGAGAUCAUGUUGUUUUUAAAACUGAUAGAUGAAAUGGAAGGUUAGGAUUGUUGGAACUGAUCAGUAGCACGAACACUUGCAAAUUAAGUUUCAAUUAGUAUUCCAAUAUAUUUUUAUUUUGUUUAGAUUUAGAUAAUAUGGACUAUGAGGUACACACUUAAUUAUUAGAAGUUGAAUUAGGCUGCCAAAAACUUUUGGGUACAUACUGUUUGUUACCUGACGGAAUCAAGUUUAUAUAGAAAAUUAACUAGGUAAUUAAUUUUCAACGUUCGAUAUGUAUAUAAAGUUUGUUUAGGUUUGUAAUAAUAUCAACUGUGAGGUUAAUUGAAGAUUAGGAGCUGAAUUAGGCUGCCUAAAAUUUACACUUACAGACUAUUUGUUGCCGGUAGGUAUCAAAUUUAUUUAGAAAAUUAAUGUUAGAUGUUGAGAAGUUGCUAACUAACUUCCUUGAAUUCAGCAUCUCUAGCAAAUCUCAAUAAACUAUAUGAUAAUGUUUGUGCAGUACGUGAGUAUGUUACGGUGAUCAUCCUUCCAUAUCGGGAUUGGGAUGCGGGAAGAACAAGAAAUUAUUGUUUUUUUAUGAUUUAUGAAAAAUUUACAAAAGGACCAACAUGUAUAUUUUAGGGGAGAAAAGAGAAAAGAAGAAGAAAAAAAGCUCGUGUGUUUUGUGUCAAGGAUCUCAUCACCAAGGAAGUUUCUCCUUUCCGGUCAGAGUAAUGAUGGUCUCUAUGUCCUAUCCGAGUCUUCUGUCAUGCCAAUUCCUCAAGCUUUUUGGUCUCUUUGCCUCUCUGCGACUGUCGAUCUGUGGCAUCGUUGUUUGGGUCAUCCAUCCCCUCGCAUUUUAAAUUUGUCUGCCGCUGCAGAACAGACCAGUUCUGUAGCAGGUUCGCCGGUGUCUGCUGUGCCGACCAGGCCCUCCACAGACUCUCCAGCCGGCCUACAGCUUUGUGUAGAUCUCUCCGUGUAUCCUCUCCAGCAACUUCCAGGUACAAGCUCGUCUCCUCCACGACCAACUACUCGUUAACGUCACAUGGUCCUCUGUCCUAGGCAACCAAAGACAUCACUGUCCACAACAACUACCGCCUCUGCUGCUUCCAUCAAUCGGGCAAUAUCUCCUCCUACUCAUGAACUGAUUUUUUUUAAUGAUGUUAAUAGGUAUGAGGUGUGGCAUAGUGCUAUAUGCGAGGAAAUUCAGGCCUCACGUGCUAAUAAAACUUGGACCUUGGUGUCGUUUCACCCUUUGAUGAA